rnacentral:rRNA from 1 species
AUUGAACGCUGGCGGCAUGCCUUACACACGCAAGUCGAACGGUAACAGCUCUUCGGAGGCUGACGAGUGGCGAACGGGUGAGUAAUACAUCGGAACGUGCCCGAUCGUGGGGGAUAACGGAGCGAAAGCUUUGCUAAUACCGCAUACGAUCUACGGAUGAAAGCAGGGGACCCUCGGGCCUUGCGCGAACGGAGCGGCCGAUGGCAGAUUAGGUAGUUGGUGGGAUAAAAGCUUACCAAGCCGACGAUCUGUAGCUGGUCUGAGAGGACGACCAGCCACACUGGGACUGAGACACGGCCCAGACUCCUACGGGAGGCAGCAGUGGGGAAUUUUGGACAAUGGGCGAAAGCCUGAUCCAGCAAUGCCGCGUGCAGGGUGAAGGCCUUCGGGUUGUAAACUGCUUUUGUACGGAACGAAAGGUCUCGGGCUAAUACCCUGGGACCAUGACGGUACCGUAAGAAUAAGCACCGGCUAACUACGUGCCAGCCGCCGCCGUAA